GGGUGGUGGGAGCAGAGUAGCAGGAGUUCCAGGUCCAGGCGACGCUCGUGGAGUGGAGAAGCUCGUCGUCCAGCAUCACCAUCCCCAAUCUAGAUCUGAGAUAGAAAAGAAGAGAAAUAAUCUUGUGGAAUUUCUUAUCUGAGAUAGAAAAGAAGAGAAAGAUCUUGUGGAAGAGCUUGACGAAAAAGAAAGGGAUCUGAGAUAGAAAAGAAGAGAAAUAAUCUUGUGGAAUUUCAUAUCUGAGAAAAGAAGAGAAAGAUUCUUGUGGAAGAGCAGCUUGACAAAAAAGAAAGGGGCGGCACAACUGUACACCACCAUGAACAGGGGCAACACUCACAUUUACCCUCCAAAAUUCAACAUUUUCAUAUUUUGAGGAGCUUCAGUACGUUUGCUCACCGAUGAACUAGAAGUUGUUCUGUGUACUGCAUGAUUGAGGAAGUGCUAUUGCAGAUCAAAGUUGGUAGAAGCAUCUGCUGGGAAUCAAGCGUUACAUGGCUGUGGGUGACAAGGUUAGUGGUUUAGGAGUUCCUGCCAACACUGGCUUUUGGAAUUUAUCCUCGCUUCAUCAGUUGGGAUUUCUGUACAAAACUAAGAUAAUUUAUUUUGGUGCUUGCGAUGAG